UUUAUUUAUUUUUCGUUAUUACAGGUUAUAAGUGUAAAGAAAUAUUUUUCAAUACGUGGUAUACCUGAUUGCAGUACUUUUCAACUCAUUAUGGAUAAUGAAUGUCCUCAACAGAAAAAUUCGUAUGAUUGCGGUCUUUUUGUGAUAAAAUUUAUGGAUUGCUUGUCCCAAGGAGAUAGAUUUUAUUUCAAUUCGGGAGAUAUGCAAUUUGAACGAAAAAAGAUAGCUGCACAACUUUUGUUUGGCAAGAUAAGUCCAUAGAAAUAAGGUGCACAUGAGUUGGAGAUGGCUAGUGUGGCUAAGGAUGAUACUGAUUAUCAGAAUAUGAUUUUCUUCUCUUUUCGAGUGGGGUCUUU